rnacentral:tRNA from 1 species
CCCCGAGUAUCCCAAUAGGUCGAGGAAGCGGACUUAAAAUCCGUAAAGUGUGGGUUCGAGUCCCACCUCGGGGA